AGCGGUAACAGAUCCAGCUUGCUGGAUGCUGACGAGCGGCGGACGGGUGAGUAAUGCAUAGGAAUCUGCCCGAUAGUGGGGGAUAACCUGGGGAAACCCAGGCUAAUACCGCAUACGUCCUACGGGAGAAAGGGGGCUCCGGCUCCCGCUAUGGGAUGAGCCUAUGUCGGAUUAGCUAGUUGGUGAGGUAACGGCUCACCAAGGCCACGAUCCGUAGCUGGUCUGAGAGGAUGAUCAGCCACAUCGGGACUGAGACACGGCCCGAACUCCUACGGGAGGCAGCAGUGGGGAAUAUUGGACAAUGGGGGCAACCCUGAUCCAGCCAUGCCGCGUGUGUGAAGAAGGCCCUCGGGUUGUAAAGCACUUUCAGCGAGGAAGAACGCCUAGCGGUUAAUACCCGCUAGGAAAGACAUCACUCGCAGAAGAAGCACCGGCUAACUCCGUGCCAGCAGCCGCGGUAAUACGGAGGGUGCAAGCGUUAAUCGGAAUUACUGGGCGUAAAGCGCGCGUAGGUGGCUUGAUAAGCCGGUUGUGAAAGCCCCGGGCUCAACCUGGGAACGGCAUCCGGAACUGUCAAGCUAGAGUGCAGGAGAGGAAGGUAGAAUUCCCGGUGUAGCGGUGAAAUGCGUAGAGAUCGGGAGGAAUACCAGUGGCGAAGGCGGCCUUCUGGACUGACACUGACACUGAGGUGCGAAAGCGUGGGUAGCAAACAGGAUUAGAUACCCUGGUAGUCCACGCCGUAAACGAUGUCGACCAGCCGUUGGGUGCCUAGCGCACUUUGUGGCGAAGUUAACGCGAUA
rnacentral:rRNA from 1 species